rnacentral:tRNA from 1 species
GCCCCCGUGGUCCAAUGGAAGGACGUCGGCCUUCUAAGCCGAGAGGUGGCGGUUCAAGUCCGUCCGGGGGUGCCA